rnacentral:rRNA from 1 species
CCCUACGGGGGGCAGCAGUGGGGAAUAUUGCACAAUGGGGGAAACCCUGAUGCAGCGACGCCGCGUGAGUGAAGAAGGAUCUCGGUACGUAAAGCUCUAUCAGCAGGGAAGAAAAAAAGUCUUUGGCUUUGGACGGUACCUGACUAAGAAGCCCCGGCUAACUACGUGCCAGCAGCCGCGGUAAUACGUAGGGGGCAAGCGUUAUCCGGAUUUACUGGGUGUAAAGGGUGCGUAGGCGGUUGUACACGUUAGAAGUGAAAUACC